GGGUGCGAUCAUACUAGCACUAAUGCACAGGAUCCCAUCAGAACUCUACAGUUAAGCGAGCUUGGGCGAGUGAGUUGUACUAGGAUGGGUGACCCCCUGGGAAGUCCUCUUAUUGUACCUC
rnacentral:rRNA from 1 species